GACGUAGGGGGCAAGCGUUGUCCGGAUUUAUUGGGCGUAAAGAGCUCGUAGGCGGCUCAGAAAGUCGGGUGUGAAACCUCCAGGCUCAACCUGGAGACGCCACCUGAUACUGCUGUGGCUAGAGUCCGGUAGGGGAGCACGGAAUUUCCGGUGUAGCGGUGAAAUGCGUAGAUAUCGGAAGGAACACCUGUGGCGAAAGCGGCUCACUGGACCAUAACUGACGCUGAUGCACGAAAGCUAGGGGAGCAAACAGG
rnacentral:rRNA from 1 species